UACGUAGGGGGCGAGCGUUGUCCGGAUUUAUUGGGCGUAAAGGGCUCGUAGGCGGCCAACUAAGUCAGACGUGAAAUCCCUCGGCUUAACCGGGGAACUGCAUCUGAUACUGGAUGGCUUGAGAUUGGGAGAGGGAUGCGGAAUUCCAGGUGUAGCGGUGAAAUGCGUAGAUAUCUGGAGGAACACCGGUGGCGAAGGCGGCAUCCUGGACCAACACUGACGCUGAGGAGCGAAAGCCAGGGGAGCAAACGGG
rnacentral:rRNA from 1 species